AUACGUAGGGUGCAAGCGUUAAUCGGAAUUACUGGGCGUAAAGCGUGCGCAGGCGGUUUUGUAAGACAGUGGUGAAAUCCCCGGGCUCCACCUGGGAACUGCCAUUGUGACUGCAAGGCUGGAGUGCGGCAGAGGGGGAUGGGAUUCCGCGUGUAGCAGUGAAAUGCGUAGAUAUGCGGAGGAACACCGAUGGCGAAGGCAAUCCCCUGGGCCUGCACUGACGCUCAUGCACGAAAGCGUGGGGAGCAAACAGGAUUAGAUACCCUGGUAGUCCACGCCCUAAACGAUGUCAACUGGUUGUUGGGGAUUUAUUUUCUCAGUAACGAAGCUAACGCGUGAAGUUGACCGCCUGGGGAGUACGGCCGCAAGGUUAAAACUCAAAGGAAUUGACGGGG
rnacentral:rRNA from 1 species